rnacentral:rRNA from 1 species
GGGUCAGUAGGUUGGUCGUGCCACCGGUACGUACUGGUCUCACUGAUUCCUCCUUCCUGAAGAACCGUAAUGCCAUUAAUUUGGUGUUGCGGGGAAACAGGACUGCUACUUUGAAAGAAUUAGAGUGUUUAAAGCAAGCUAACGCUUGAAUACAUUAGCAUGGAAUAAUGAAAUAGGACGAUCGAUCCUAUUUUGUUGGUUUCUAGGAUUGACGUA